GGGCUGCAAAGCGAGGCUUCAGGCUCACCUCUUUCAGGAAGUCCUCAGGAACUGCCAUAUGUGCGUGUGCGCAUGACAGCAUGCGUGUGUGGGCCUGUUUGCUGUGGUCUCAAGAGCUGCCAGGACUGUGUUCAGGUGGGACUCCUGCAGGAGAUCCAGCCUCUUCUCAGACUGGGGACUCUCAGACUGGACCGUGCUUCCUCUGUCAGCCUGGGGACAACUUCCGAGGACAGAGCUGGUCGCUUUCUUCAGACAGGGGGCUCAGAGGGAGAGAGCUGGUGUGCCUUUCUUCCUAGGGCUGACGGCUGCUGCCAUUAAGUUGGUUCUGAUGUCGAAUGACUGAAGUGGACGCAUAGUGACUGGUUUCUGGGAGUAAAUCUUUACAGGAGCAGACACCCGCAUCUUUCUCUCGUGGAGCACAUGCUUCUCUCCCCUUUCCAGUCUCGUGUCCAGCUCCAACUGUGCCUCCCCCACAGACCAAGCUGAGUACACACCUGACCCGGGAAGUCUGGGGCCCCGGGGCUGGGCUCAACUUCGUCCUCCCAAGUGGCGUGCGCGAGUGCUCUUUCGGUGCGCACAUAUGGCUCGGAAGUGAAAUUGAAAAGAAGAUAAAUAAAGGCUAUUAUUCAGAUAA